CUUGAGCGAUCCCAGCCGCAGAGGCCUGUGCUCGGGGCGAUCCUGCCCGUAGGUCGCCAGCAGGGACUGCGCUUC
rnacentral:antisense_RNA from 1 species